AUUCUGCCCAUGCGGGGAAGGAUGAGAAGCUUCGACCAAGGUGCGACUCGAGCGCCAGCGAGAGAGCGU
rnacentral:sRNA from 1 species